GUGUUCACUUCAGCAGCACAUAUACUAAAAUUGGAACAAUACAGAGAUUAGCACAGUCCCUGCGCAGGGAUGACACACAAAUUCGUGAAGUGUUGCAUAUUUUU
rnacentral:snRNA from 1 species